rnacentral:rRNA from 1 species
AACGCUGGCGGCGUGCUUAACACAUGCAAGUCGAACGGUGAAGCGCCUUCCUUUUUGGUGGGUGUGGAUGAGUGGCGAACGGGUGAGUAACACGUGAGUAACCUGCCCCCUUCUUCUGGAUAACCGCAUGAAAGUGUGGCUAAUACGGGAUAUUCUGGGUCUGUCGCAUGAUGGGUCUGGGAAAGAUAUUGUUUCGGUGGGGGAUGGGCUCGCGGCCUAUCAGCUUGUUGGUGGGGUGAUGGCCUACCAAGGCGGUGACGGGUAGCCGGCCUGAGAGGGUGGACGGUCACACUGGGACUGAGACACGGCCCAGACUCCUACGGGAGGCAGCAGUGGGGAAUAUUGCACAAUGGGCGCAAGCCUGAUGCAGCGACGCCGCGUGAGGGAUGGAGGCCUUCGGGUUGUGAACCUCUUUCGCCAGUGAAGCAGGCCUGCCUCGUUUGUGGGUGGGUUGACGGUAGCUGGAGAAGAAGCGCCGGCUAACUACGUG